AGAGACCGGCGCACGGGUGCGUAACGCGUAUGCAAUCUACCUUUCACAGAGGGAUAGCCCAGAGAAAUUUGGAUUAAUACCUCAUAGUAUAGCAGUUUCGCAUGAAACCACUAUUAAAGUCACAACGGUGAAAGAUGAGCAUGCGUCCCAUUAGCUAGUUGGUAAGGUAACGGCUUACCAAGGCAACGAUGGGUAGGGGUCCUGAGAGGGAGAUCCCCCACACUGGUACUGAGACACGGACCAGACUCCUACGGGAGGCAGCAGUGAGGAAUAUUGGACAAUGGGCGCAAGCCUGAUCCAGCCAUGCCGCGUGCAGGAUGACGGUCCUAUGGAUUGUAAACUGCUUUUAUACGAGAAGAAACCCUCCGACGUGUCGGAGCUUGACGGUAUCGUAAGAAUAAGGAUCGGCUAACUCCGUGCCAGCAGCCGCGGUAAUACGGAGGAUCCAAGCGUUAUCCGGAAUCAUUGGGUUUAAAGGGUCCGUAGGCGGUCAGGUAAGUCAGUGGUGAAAGCCCAUCGCUCAACGGUGGAACGGCCAUUGAUACUGUCUGACUUGAAUUAUUAGGAAGUAACUAGAAUAUGUAGUGUAGCGGUGAAAUGCUUAGAGAUUACAUGGAAUACCAAUUGCGAAGGCAGGUUACUACUAAUGGAUUGACGCUGAUGGAC
rnacentral:rRNA from 1 species